UGUAGACGUAACCCUUUGAUUACGUAAGGGUUUUUGUUUAAACUCUUUGGGUGGGUGCUGGAUGGACCUUUGGAAUACAAAAGUAUUAUGAGUAGAACCUCUGUCGGUGGGUUCUAGGUGUAUACAACUGACUGCCAACCCACUUCAGGAACCGCUCAUUGGGCGCUCUUGUUGGAACCUUUUACGGAUGGUUCUAAAAAGGACCAUCUAUGUUUGGCUCUAGGAAGAACCCUGGAAAAGCAUUCCUGUCGUUACAUUUAUCAGGAACCAAGAAGGGUUCUCCUUUGGGGACAAGCUAAAGAACACUUCAUGCUCUAUAGCCAUGGCAACAGCACAACAUAUCGGCAACCACAGGACCACACUGCGGCCGCUGGCACUGCCAGAGUUGUGCCAAAGACUAAUCCGUGCCAGAGGUGACAUGGGCAAAGGGAAACACAAGCGCACUGGAUAUCCUGCUAUUCUUCUUGGCUGGAGCCUCCCAUGGCGAUAGCAGUAGGAAUCCAUUCUCCACGGAUGCUGGGACAGCUGCGCUGAUAUUGAAUGAGACGCAGUUGGUUCUGCCUCGCUCUCUGCAUGUGGCUCGAGAUAAAAAACUACAUGCCACUUAAUUCAAAUCUACCCCGCCUGCUGCCAAAAUGCACACCGGCUCAUCCCGUCUUUGUCCUCGCCACCGACGAGAGCUCCCCAUUUCUUUUUUCGCAAGAAUUGCUGUAAAUUCAAGCGUGCUGACGCAUGGUGGCCCCAAGCUGACCGGAAAAAAUCCGGAGAAACGCAUCAAUCCCAGAAGGCUCCAUAAGCCCUAUAUAUGCUCCAAAAGCAAAUAAUCCACAACAUGCUACAGAUUUUGCCGCAAAAAAUAACAAAAAGUGACAUUUGACAUUGUGAGGUGAGUUAGCUUGGAUACCUUGUCUCAGAACACAACCAUCCAACAGAAAAUGGCCACAUUAAAGAAGCCGAGCCACAGUUCUUAAUGAUGGCAGUUUUUUUCUGCAGUAAGUUGGCCUGUAACUUGCUGCGUGCUAUGAAUGAAUAAGUAAAAGGAACGUGAUGUCCCAGGCAAGCGUAUGGCGCCGUGACCUCACGGCGUCCCGCGAUGAGGGGAGAAGCACCGGCACAAAACAGCAGCGCGGCCAAUCGAAUGACUCCGGUUUCACCGCCGUGCCCUCCAGACAUGAGCACACAACUCGGUUACAAGCGAGGACAAUAGAUCCGCCCCGCUUGUCAAUCAAGCGCACUAUGAGUUCAUUCUUCAGUCUGGUGUGCGAGAGCAGAGUGCUCUACUGGCUCGCUUUUAUAAACUUAUUUUUGUUGUGGGGCACCGGUGAGUUACACUGGUAUCCCAUAUAUUUAUAAUUAAGUCAAUUAAAUUAAUGUUUUCUCAAAA
ensembl:lncRNA